AAUAGAUACCCUGGUAGUCCACGCCGUAAACGAUGGAUACUAGCUGUUGGGGGCGACCUCAGUGGCUAAGCGAAAGUGAUAAGUAUCCCACCUGGGGAGUACGUUCGCAAGAAUGAAACUCAAAGGAAUUGACGGGGGCCCGCACAAGCGGUGGAGCAUGUGGUUUAAUUCGAUGAUACGCGAGGAACCUUACCAAGGCUUAAAUGCAGACUGACCGUUUUGGAAACAGAACUUUCGCAAGACAGUCUACAAGGUGCUGCAUGGUUGUCGUCAGCUCGUGCCGUGAGGUGUCAGGUUAAGUCCUAUAACGAGCGCAACCCCUGUUGUUAGUUGCCAGCGAGUAGUGUCGGGAACUCUAACAAGACUGCCAGUGCAAACUGUGAGGAAGGUGGGGAUGACGUCAAAUCAUCACGGCCCUUACGCCUUGGGCUACACACGUGCUACAAUGGCCGGUACAGAGAGCAGCCACCUCGCGAGGGGGAGCGAAUCUACAAAGCCGGUCACAGUUCGGAUCGGAGU
rnacentral:rRNA from 1 species